AUUAGUCAAAUCAUUCUGAAAUAUUAAAUACACAAAAUUCCUAAUUUCCGUUGUGGGGAAGCUGGUGGAGGACUUCGAUUGCUAUUUGAUGUUGCUUCCUUGUUAUUAUUUUAAAGAUACAAAUUGCUGCAGACUGAUCAUUGGAGUUGGGAUUCACUGCUGCCCUGAGAUUCUUGGAGCUCUGGUGCAGGAGUGCUGCAGCGAUGCUGGCUGUCUAGAUUUUGUGAUCUGCCCUUGGCUGUCUGCAAGCUGGGAUGAUGGGAAACUGCUGCCUCCUGCUGCGACUUUUUUUUUCCCGCUUUUUCACUUUUUUUCCAUCGCGCUUUAUCUUCCGCUGCUCUAUAGAGGAGCUGUCACUGCUACUCAGUGGCAACUCCUAUGAAUUUGGCCAUUGGUCAUCUUUGAGGUGCUGACCAUCUCUUCCCCCUACUUCUGGGUCACUUUCAAUCCGCUUUGUGACCUCUGGCCUAGAGUGCAUGGGAUUUGUGGGAGGGAAGUAUUAUACCCAUUCUUGCUGUUUUGUUCUGUGUUUUUACCUCUGCAGCCUGCCACCGCUCGUGUUGGGUGAGAAACCUUGUUGCCUCGGUAACCCAUCUGAUUGUUGCACUCUGCUCUGUGUUUUUUUAUCUCAUUGCCUCUGUUUUGGUUGUUUCAGUGACCAAUGCAAAACGCCUUCAGCAACCCUGUAGGUGGAGCAUCGUGACAACGCGCCCAUCUCUAUUUUGUGCAAAACAGAGUAAUCACUCUCCCCUCCAAACAUUUGGCUUCUGGCAGUGCCAUGUCCUUCGGCAAUCUGACAGAAAGAAACAUUUUCUAAGUAUAAAAUAGGGAAGAGAGUAAUCAUGGAGAUAGUGGGAUUCACCGGAGACCAAACUUGCAAUCUGUCGCUAGAGCCAGAGGAUGUAGGGGUCACGGUGUGUGCUGGUAACGACUGAACCCAGGUGCGAAGGAAUGUCAGACUCCCACAUAGUGACAGAAACAAGAUUUUAUUCAUAGGAAGACCAACAGAACAUCAGUGGCACGAUCAAGCGAUACUCCUAGAUGAAGCAUUCACAUCAAAAAGGACCCCGUGACAAGCGGUAGUCAGGAGUCCGCUCUAAAUAAUUAUAAAAUGCGGAAAACCCAUGCCAGUCACAAUAAACUCAACAAGAUUAAGGAGAAAACACUAGGGCCUAAUGAUUCUAGUUAAGACAUCAAUUAAUAAAUACAGGUACUUGAGAAACCUGGAAGCCCAGCAUUCUACGUGUCGCCACAGAGGCCUGCAGGAGUCAUGACAGUAGAUGAGGUUUUCAAUGGAUGCUUCUCAUCUGUAUUCACAAUGGAAGAAGUCAGUGCAAUUGGCAAAUUCAGGGAGAGGGGCGGUGGCAUUCUAGAACGAGUUACUAUUGGAGAAGAGAUGGUAUUAAAAUUGGAUAAGUUCCCAGGGUCCCAGGAAACUUGCUAUGAGAGGCAAGCAAGGAGAUUUCUGGGGCUCUGACAGAAAUUUUUCAAACCUACUCUGACUGCAGAAGAGGUAGUAAGACUAGAGAACAGAGGCCAUAAUAUCUUUAGUUAAGAAAGGCAGAUGGGUAGUUCCAGGUGAUGGGGAAAUUAUUGAAAAACUAGACUAGUAUCAGACGGGCAGGAGGAGACAGAUGAAACAGCAAUGGUGAGUGUUAAGAAGGUGGCUAAAUGUGUUGAUGAUGAUAAUGUAUUCUCUGUAGAAUGUAUGGACUUCAAUAAUGAAUUUAGCAAGAUCCCAUGUGGGAGACUGAACCAAUAAAUAAAAGCUUAUAGUAUGCAGGGCAACUAUAAGGGUAAUGAAAAGUAGAGGGUGUUGGUGAAGGGCUGCUUUUGUGAAAGAAGGCCUGCCAUUACUAAUAUACCAAAGAUAAUAAAACUGUACAUCUUGCGGUUUGUUAUAUACAGUAAUUAAUUACCCAGAUCUGAAUGUAGGAAAUAAGUAAGUUUCAGAUGCCAUGAAAACUCCUUGAAUUUCAAAGCCUUUAACUGCAGAAUGUCUUUGACUAGUUACCCACGAGGUGUAACCAUCUUUUUGCUCUUCCCACUGAUGUGUAGGGAAGUCAGCAAUGACUAUAACUUGCUACUUAGUGCCAAAAGACCAAGGGCAUGCAAUGGAGAAUAAAUCCAAAGAUCUGAGGCCACAGAGGGGAAGAAGAAUGGAAACUGGAGCCAUCAUGGAAUCACUGGACUGAAUGGUUUCUUUUGGUGGCAAUAAGAAAGAAAAUUCAAGAUUUUUUAUUGUCAUUCUUUAGUAGAUGGGUGUAAAGGAAAAGGAAAUUACUGUUAUUCAGGAUCCAAUGCAGCGUAAAAAACAAUUAAAAAAACUGUAAGUAUAAAUAUGAAAGCAGUCCUAUAAAACACAAUGUACAACUGCAGCACACAUAGGCUGAUUGUAUGUACAUGAAGUGAUGCUGCAUGAUGUGUACAUAAUGAUGGCCAAGUGGGUUAACGGUGAAAGUGGAAGUGUUGAUCAGCCUGAUGGCUUGGGGAAGUAACUGUUUUUCAGUCCAGUGGUCCUGGCGUGGAUCCUCCCUAUGGGAGAGGGCCAAACAAUCUAUAAGCAGGGUGAGGGUGAUCGUUCAUGUUGUUGCUGGCCUUUUUUUGGCACCUUUCUGAAUAUACAUCUUUGCUUGCAGAUAAGUUAGGCAGUUUUAACUACCCAUUGUAGAGCCUGCCAGCCCACCACAGUGCAGUUUCUGUAUCACACAUUGACGCAGUAUGCUCUCCACUGUAUCUAGAGUCACAAGUAUUGACGUACAUUGCCCAGCUCUCGUCUGCCUCCUCAGAAAGUAAAGGCAUUGGUGAGCUUUCUUGACUGUGGAGGAUGAUGAGAAGUGUUUUAAGGUAAUGAGGGGCAUUGAUCGCGUUAAGUAGGUGGCUAAAUUUGUCAAUGAUGUGACUAUCAGAGGCUUUUUCCCAGGGCUGAAAUGGCUAACGUGAGAGAGCACAGUUUUAAGCUGCUUGGAAGCAGGUACAGAGGAGACGUCAGGGUUACGUUUUUUUACGCAGAGAGUGAUGAGCACGUGGAAUGGGCUGCCAGCGACGGUGGUGGAAGUGGAUACGACAGGGUCUUUUAAGAGACUCCUGGAUAGGUACAUGGUCGGCACAGCAUUGUGGGCCGAAGGGCCUGUAUUGUGCUGUAGGUUCUCUAUGUUUCUAUGUCUUCUGGCACCAUGACAGGCAGUGCGAGAUAUACAAUCCUAGGAUUUUGAAACAGCUCACAGUUUCAACUGCUGUGGAUGUGAAGUGGAGUUGGAGUGGUGCAGGUUUUUAACCAUUCUCGUUGGUCUUUUAGGAAGAGGUUAUUUAUCCUCAAGCUCUUCCACCUCCUCUCUGUAAGCCUUCUCAGUAUUGUUGGUGAUGAACCCACCACUGUUGUGUCAUCGGCAAACUUGACAAUGUGGCUGGGGCGAGAGGAAGAGAAGGGGGAGAAGGAAGGAGAGUUGGUAAGCAGAUGGAUUGUGAGUUUUUAAAAUAAAGCAUCACUGAAUUUCAAUACAGUUGGAUUUACUUUGAGGGGAAUUUCAAUGAUCAAGGCAACAUGAGGAUAUAAACAAAGUAAAACAGUUAUAGAUCAGUUAAAUAUAAAAAUAAAAUAAAAUAUAACAGUGUUUGCACUUGUUGCUGAAAAAAACAUUCUGGAACUGAAAGAAAAUUAUAGCACUUCUUUUGGAUAUUUAAAAUGCAAAAUAGUGCCUAUGAGUUUGCAUUCAAAGGAAGGGAUGCCAGCCAGCAUACUGGAGGAAUUCAUAGCAUUUGUUAUAAAAGGGAGAUGUGUACAAUACCAGAAUUUGUUACCCAUAAUCACAAUAGCCAUGGGUGAAAGUAACCUAAAUUUCUCACAUGCACAGUAAUUUCACUACUGUAUAGUAAGGUUCAUUCCGUUCUGACACUAAAUGACUGUCAGCACAUUCUCACUGCUACCAUCAGGGGGAGGAGGGACAAAAGAUUGAAAACCCAUACAAAACAAUUUAAGAACACCCUCUUUCCCUCUGCCAUCUGAUUUCCCAAUGGACAUUAAGCCCAUGAACACUACCCCACUACCUCACUACUCUUUAUUCCUCUCUUAUUGCACUACUUAUUUAAUUUAACCUUAAAAACAUAUAUAUAUAGUGUUUACUGUUUUUUAUUACUAUGUAUUACAUUGUACCGCUGAUGCAUAACAACACAUUUCACAACAUACGCCAGUGAUAUUGAAUCUGAUUCUGACAAGUUUCUGCCUCAGGAAAUUUCAAGCUCAGAUCAGAAAUGGAACAGAAAAAAAAAGGUAAAAAAUAAAAACACAAAAUGCUGGCAGAACUCAGCAGGCCAGACAGCAUCUAUGGGAGGAGGUAGUGACGACGUUUCAGGCCGUAACCCUUCAUCAGGAGGAGCUCAUUUGGAGAAAUUAAAAUGCCUCGCAUUCCGGUAAACUACUUCAGUCAGAGAUCAUCACAGACGGCCAACUUCAUUUUCAGAACAAAGAUGGACAAGGAACAUCUGUGACAGACGACUUGCUAACAAAGGCUGUCCCACUAGUGAAGAUAGCCUCUUAGAUCCUUGCGUGAGAAAACACUAAAGUUUGUCACAGCUUUUAACAAAUGAUUUCUGUACUCAGUUCUAUAGACCAGGAGUGGCCACCAACCAACAUAAUCAUGAUUUCAUUGUUAUUCUAUUCAACAAUUAUCCUGAACUUAUUGGCAUAAGUGUUGGCGCGUGGCCUAGUGGGCAAGGCAUCAGACUAGUAACCUGAAGGUCACUGGUUCGAGCCUCAGCUGAGGCAUCGUGUUUGUGUCCUUGAGCAAGGCACUUAACAACACAUUGCUCUGCGACGUCACCGGUGCCAAGCUGCAUGGGUCCUAGUGCCCUUCCCUUGGACAACAUCGGUGGUAUAGAGAGGGGAAGGCCUGCAGCUUGGGCAACUGCCGGUCUCCCAUACAACCCUGCCCAGGCCUGCGCCCUGGAAACUCCAGGCGCAGAUCCAUGGUCUCUCGAGACCGAUGGAUGCCACCAACCAAUUGGCAUAAAUGACUGAGUUUUAAAAUUCUGUUUCUAAUCACCCCAUGGCCCUGCUCCCUUCCUAAUUUCUGCAUUCUUUUCUAGUCCAGGACUGGGGAGUCCUCUGCAGUUCUUUCAUCCUGGCCUUUUUAUCAUUUGGUGACGAGGAAGCAAAUCAUUUACUUCACCUGCUCAAUCUUUUCACCUUGCUCUCCCUAUUUAAACUGCCCCUUAAACUUCAAUCAAGGUUAUUUUUUUCUACUAUUUUCUAAAGCGGUUCACUGUCAAAUGUUGUUUGUGGUGCUCUUAUGAAGCACCUGGGAAACUUGACCCUGCUCAAGUACUUAAUGGCAAGUGUUAUGAAGUUUCUUGUAAAGUGUAACUGCAGAAAAGAAUGAUAUAAGAUGCUGAUCCUGUACCAAAGGUGUGUUGGAAGAUUGAUGUGUGGCUGCACAACAUCGAGCGGAUUGUUGUCUUGAGACAGGCUGGAGUAUUUAAAUCACCGUGGUUUCCAGAGUCCGGACACUAGGUGGCUCUGGCACAACAGAUUUGAUUCAGGCAAGUUCAAUUUCCAGCCCUUGCUACCUGCUUUGCACCGUAAUAUUUCACCACCUCAAACAAGUAAUUUUAAAUGGUAGAUUAAGUGCACGCACACUGAAGCUCAUGUCUCUGCUCACUACCCAGGGACGAAGAUCAAAACUGUCUGUGGAAGCUUGCUGGCAAACAUGAAUCAGAAUCAGGUUUGAUACUACUGACAUAUGUCGUGAAGCGUGUUAAAUGCGGCAGUGGAACAAUGCAAACAUAAUAAUAGAAAAGAAAAAUGUGGAUUACAGCAAGUAUAUAUAAAUAGCUAAAUUAAUAAAUAGUGCAAAAAUAGACAUUUUUAAAAAGCAGUGACGUAGCGUUCAGGGGUUCAAAGUCCAUUCAGAAAUCGGAUGACAGAGGGGAAGAAGCUGUUCCUGAAUCACUGAGGGUGUGCCCUCAGGCUCCUGUACUUCCUCCCUGGUGGUAGCAAUGAGAAGAAGGCAUGUCCUGGGUGAUGGGGGUCCUUAAUGAUGGACGUCACUUUUUUGAGACAUUGCUCCUUGAAGAUGUCCUGGAUACUACAGAGGCUUUGGCCCACGAUAGAGUUGUUUACAAUUCUCUGCAGCUUAUUUUGCUCCUAUGCAGUGACUCCUUCCCCCUCCCACAUCCAGCUGGUGAUGCAGCCAGAUAGAAAGUUCUCCAUGGUAUAUCUGUAGAAAUUCUCAAGUGUUUUAGGUGAUAUACCAAAUUUUCUCAGAUUCUUAAUGAAAUAUAUAGCUGCUGACAUGCCUUCUUUGUACAAACGUAGCUGCAUCGAUAUGAGAAAUACGACAGUAAGCCAUUUAGAUCCCAAUAAAUUCAAUAACACUAGUCAACAAAGAUUUUUUGCUUCCUGAGUACUUUUGGUUGUAUCUUGCUGAAUUUGGGCUGCUGGUCAUGAAAAUCACCAUGACAUUUCCUUAUCAUGCACAAUUUGUUUGAAAUUGAAAUAUGUUUGUUAUUUUAAUUCAUAAUUCAAGUCAAUUAAAAUGUUGCUCACAACGUCAGCUGAAAAGUUUUCUAUCUUGGCAUGCCUGUGUACAUUUAGCCAGGACAGGUUUCUGAAAGGUUGCUACUAGAAUGUAGCUUGGAUACACUACAUACUGGUGUUUUGUUUGUGAAUGGGACAGCCAUGCUAAAGAAUUUCAUUACAUUAAAAAGGAUUGGACACUUCAUAAGCAUUUGGUUCCUGGGCAGAAAAGUGUGGCACAUAAGCCAGUUGCAGACCCAACAAGGAUAUUUUUGUCUCCUCUUCAUUUAAAACUGGGGUUUAUGAAAAAUUUUGUGAAAGUGAUGAACAAGGAAGAAGGAUUUCGACUUUUGAGACAGACAUUUCCCAGAAUAACUAAUGCCAAGAUUAAGGAAGGCAUUUUUGUUGGUCCUCAAAUCAAACAGGUCAUCAAUGACAGGCAAUUCGAAGAACUUCAACGGAACUAGAGAAAAUCACAUGGAAGGCAUUCAAAGAUGUUCAAAUUUUUCUUGUGUUACGAAUGUGAAGCAACUCUGAGGGGUCGAAGGGUACAAAGUUGCCCCCUCCUUUUUGAGAAUCACAAGAUUGCUAUUAAUUCAGGUCUGGGACCCAGGAAACGAGAGAGAGACUCGCAGAAUCCACAAGGUUUGGAAUGUGUCCUGGCCUCAGCAGAACGGAUCCACUGAUAACAGCCAUGGUCUCUUGGAGACGGAAUUGUCUAUUGAGUACUGUACUAUUCAUUGAAACCCCUCAGGGGACAACCAGAGUGGUCUGGUUGAGGGAUUGCAUCAUCCCAACCUGAUUGACAUCUGAGACCCCAUGAGUAAGGAUAAAAGAGGGUCUGGGGAACAACUCCUUUAGACGCACCAGAAGAAACGCUGGAAAUCCAGUGACAGCGUUUUAUAGCAAAAGCCGGUGGGGCUUGUGUGCAUCUUCCCUUGCCUGGGUUGGCGGGCUCACCACGGAAGAAUGGUAUAGCUAAAGGAGAGGCCACAAGUGAACGGCCACACCAACGAGACUCCGACGGAUCGAAAUCAUAAAAGGAAAAUCGGCAAGUUUUUCUCCAAAUCUCUCUCUCUCUCUCUCUCUCUCUCUCUCUCUCUCUCCAACCAUUGCAAACCCAGUGGUCCCCAAAGGCUGCAGCCUGCAUGAACUGAGUGAACUUUAUAUUUCCAUCGGACAAUACUUUAUCCUCUAGACAACAAUAGAGCUUAUUUCUUAUUGAUCAUUAUUAUACCCGCACUUUUAGAUUUAGUAUUGACAACGUAUAUUAUCUGUAUAUUUGCAUUGAUAUUAUUUUUGUGUCUUUUUACUAAUAAAUACUGUUAAAAAUAGUAUCAUCAGACUUCAAUGGACCUCUCCAUCUUUGCUGGUAAGUGACCCAGUUACAGGGUUUGUAACACAGAGCACCAGACUACAUGCAGUUGGUGGACAACAAGCUUCGAGCACACAAAACCAUGAAGUGCAACAUGUCACUGAAGAUUAAUUUUCUGCAUUCCUUUUUAGACUUCUUCCCUGCAAAUCUUGGUGCUGUCAGUGACGAGCAUGCUGAAAAGUUUCACCAGGAGAUUGUCGUCAUGGGGAAACAGUAUCAGGGCAAUUGGAAUCCAUCAAUGCUGGCAGAUAAUCAGCAUCAGACAUCCAUAAAACAGAAGAAAAUCCCAAGGAAUGAAUGACAGAAAAAUGGUAAAACUUCAAACCUCCCCUCCCUCCUAUGUACAAGCAGCAGCAAAGCAUCAACUCUUCCCUACACAUUCCAGCAGGAAGCAUCAGCCCCUACUGCCCACCGUGCUGGCAAUAGCCAACCCCUAAAGAGAUCAUGCUCGAGAAUCCAUCAAAAACCAGAGCCUGUAACCCAGCACUCCGACAUGACACAGGCUCCCUCUCUUUCACCAACAAGGGAGAGAGAGGUAUUUCUCCUGCCACAGGGAGAGGGGAGACCAACAUUAGCUUGGCAUUUUGGGACCUACUCCAGCUUUUAGUACCUCAAUAUCAGGUGUUCAGUUUGGAAGUGCCAGCAAUAAUCAAAAUGAUCUGGCCCAUAGAUUAAAUUUGUUAUUUCUUUGGAUAACAGACAAUUCAUUACUGAAUUGCAAAUUUGUAUUUUGUUUGUUUUUGAUGAAAUGUUUGGGAAUAUCUUAUAUACGAUGACAAUUCAGCUAUGACAAAUUUAUGUAAGAUACAAAUACAUGAUAGAGUUUUGUUAGAAUUCCCCAGCACUACAUUGAGGAUCACCUGUAUGAUCCUGCACUGGGUUGGUCUUUGGUGAAAACAAAGACCAGUGAAUUUCAAAAGGUAAAUUGUAACAAAAGGAGCAGAGAGAAAGGGGAAAGUACAAUAUUUAAUAAAAUUAUUCUGCUUCACUUAAUGUCUUGAUUUAUUUAUAUCUAUUCUACAAACGUUUGUAGUUAAUGCACAUUACUUACAGUACUGUGUAAGAGGCUCCAGAACAUGAACAGUAUAUAGCUAGGGUGCUUAAGGCUUUUGCACACAACUGUAGUAAUUUUAUUUAAAGCACUGUACUGCUGGAAAAAAACAGCAUGGAUUUCAUGACAUAUGUGAGUGAUGAUAAACCUGAUUCUGGUAUGGGUCUCUACUGUGGACUGAGAGUGGGGGGCAGGGAGAGGGGAGAGAGUUGUGAGCAUCAGUGAUCAAUAAACCAGUUGUUUGGAAUCAAAAGACCUUGCCUGGUCUUUCAGGGCUGGGUGUGUCUGCACUGUGUCACUCUCUACCCCGGUACUCCUCCUCUGCCACCCGUCCCACACCCCUCCUCUGGGACUCCACCUUAGCCAUUCCCAACAUCCUUUGCUCCUGCGGAUUUACAAGCUCACUCUCUGCUCCUCGUUGACAAAUACAGUACUGUGCAAAAGUCUUAGGCAUCCUAGCUAUAUGCGUGCCUAUGGCUUUUGCACAGUACUGUACUUCAACUACUUAGUUUUAUCUGUCAACUUUUACAACUAGCAAAACCUGUCCUCACCUUUACCUGCUGUUGAACAUCACCAAAGAUGUGUUUUGGUGGGGCUGCAGCCAUAAUAGCUUUCCACAUCUGGCCAGGUAAAUAAUGGAUAUGGAUGGUAAUUCCAGGCAUGGACAUAGGGGCACCAGGCCAGUAUAAUUUGGCUUGUGAUUUAGCUAUUCAUACCUUUGUCUCUCACAUGCCUGUAAAAUACUUCCACUAAUAAAUUCAUUCAUUCUUUGGUGUCAUUAAAACGGACUUGUCUGGCAAAAGAUAUUUACUUUGGCUUUUACUCUAGAUAUUUUCCAAAGCUAUUAGAAGUAAAGUUGUUUUAACAUUCUUAUGCAAGCUGAUGAAAGAAAAUAUUAAGCAGCUCAAGUUCAUUUUUGAAAAAAUAAACAACUUGGUGAAUCACUUUCUUUCAGCUUUGAUAUUUUUCCAUCAUCCUUCCUAAUGCCAGUUCAAACUUCUGCAUAACGGAGUCACGUUUCUAAAUCAGUAUACCUACCACAUUAAAUCUGCCUGUCCCUUCUUGGUUAAGAAAAAAGUGGUGCAUAUCCGGCACAGAGCUUACUGUACUCUGAACACCAACCAAAGGACUGAUGACCAAGAAAGGACACUAGCAUUGGAUCACUUAUCCUUUAAUGGAUUUGGAGGAUUUUGCAGAGACUGUGUUGGUGGAUUUUCCCAUUGCCUUCAGGACCCUGCUUCAGGUAAUCCAGGUCACAGAAGCACAUAAGAAGGCAAGAUUCACUGCAGCCUGCUAGAUUAUGAGUUUUGUGUGCACUUUGACUCGGUCAAAGACUAGGAUGAUCCACUUAGGGUGGCUCCUGUUAGAAACCACCAUGAUUUGAAUAAUACUUUUUAUAAGUUUGUACUUUUUAACAAACUCAUGUAUUUUUCACAGUAUGUGGUGGCUCAUCCCCACUCACUGGCAGAAAUUGGUAUAGCAGCUACACUAACGGUGUAUCACCUUUCUCAUUUUUCAUUUUCUAAGUAUCAGCACAUCACCCAUGUGAUGUAAUUGUUUUAAUUAUGUAGCCUAUGAACUAGGUUAUUCUUUUCUAAUGAGUAUCUAUAAAGUGAUGGAUUUUUCAAAGUCACUAUUGUUGCUUCUUUUCUAUCUUUUGUCUUCGCAUUCACCUCUCUGCAUUGUUUCUCUGUUCUUUAGUUAGUUUGCCUAGUAUUUGCAUGUUUGUUUUAACUCUAAAAUAAACUUCUUAGAAUUAAGACUGCUCACAAUUUUUUACUCCCAGAAGAAUCCCAAGGAUCAGAAAAUAAACAGAGAUCCAAUAUGUCAAGUGGUCUUUGCUUUCCAGGGUACCUCUGUGAAACUUUACUAUUGAAAGGCAAAGUCACUAAAGGACCUUUUGGCUUAUCAUUGUAAGAGCUAUCCACUCAUUUGCUUCAGUGAACAAGUCAAAAAGGUCCUUGAAAGUACACAAAUGUAAGCCUACUGCAGGUGUAUUAAGGUCUUGGUUCUUUAUUUAUGCACCGUAGAUUGAACACUUAUAUCCUACCGAUCAGCUUCACUUCCAUGUGAGGGCUGUUGAAGAUGGGGUGCAGCAAUGCAGAGAGAAAGAGUAUCAGGGCGAUGAAGCAGCCUUCACUGAGACUGGAGAUUCACUGUGGUGGAUCUGUUGGUUUGCAUAAUGGCUUCCAUACUAUCAUGAAACCAAAGGUGGAGAUGCAGGCUGUGAGAUCUGAGGAGGGUGUUCCACAGUUUGUCCCAGCUGGAAUGGCGUAACAAGUCAGCAUGUGCUGCAACCCUCACUGCUAUGAAUUGUGCUCUAAUUACAAUGUAUUACACAAUAAUUCAUUCAGUAUUAUGGCAUACUUUUUAAUUUUAUUAAUCAUCUUCAUUAAUCUACUUGGCUUUUACUUUUUCAAUAUAUGAUUAUAUACAGAAUGUAUAGUUAUUCCAUAAAUCAAAAUUCUCCAACCAAUGGCCAUUUCUAAUAUUUAUCUUGAAUAUUCUAAUAAUGUUGCAAGAAAUAAAUGCCCUUAGGGAAAGGUAGUCAGCUGGUGGUGUAGUGGCAUCUGCACCAGACUUCGAGGCAAGUGGUCCCAGCUUCGAAUCCGCCUGGCUUGCGUGCUUUCCAAUGGUGCUGGGUAACAAAUGUUAAAGAAAUGGCAGUUGCCACCUGAUGUGGAGAGGAACUCAAACUCAGGGAAGUACUACUUCAUUAAUUCCUUUUCUGGUUUGUGGUUGACUCUUGCACUGGUGGGCAAUGAGGAUUAAAACUAGGUGGACAGUGAGGAUUACCAGCAUUGUCCAAAUUCCAGUACAUUAAAGGAAAAGGUCAGAAAAAUUUACAAAUGUAAACCAUUUGCUUGACACAUUGACAUAGCGCUUUCGAACAUAAAUUACAUGUUUGACCAAUAUUCAAGUAUAGCCUUUGUUGAAAACAAAAUCUGCAUAUAUCAGCAUUAUACUAAUUACUUGUCACAAAAUAUACAAAAAACUUGAAAUGAAAAUGCUAAUACAAAAUGUACAAAAAAUUAAAAUGCAAAAUUUUUAAUACAAAAUGUACAAAAAAAUUAAAUUGAAAUGUAAAUGCUAAUGUACAUAAAGCAAUAAAAUGCGCAGCAUUUCUGAAAUAUGUGUCAUGAGUUGAGUGCACUUGUUCUCAAUGAAGGGGACAGAUUCAGAACUAGAAUCCCAAAUCUGUUUUUUGCUGUCGAUGGCAGUACUAAGGCAAUGCUUCUAUGUUAUACUCCUAUGACCGUAAUAUGCUGGGAAAUGGAAACGAGAUUCUAUUGUGGUAUUUAGUUUGAAGCCUGUACUAUAUUCCUGUGGAUUAAUGCCACGACGUGCAAGACCAACAGAAUGUGUUCAAUACUCACUGUUUAAGUAGAUUCAGAAUAAUACAAAUUCAUCCCUAGUAUUGUAAAUAUUCCCUCAAUGAUUCAACUAUUUGUUGUACCUUAUUAGAAAGUUCUGUGCAGUCAUGAUAGAGAACUUUGUCAUUGAAGAAGAGUUACAAUAACACCAACUGAUUCGUUAUUGUUCAAUCUUUGGCAUUCUGAUUGAUAGUUUUAAAGUGACAGCUAAUACAAAAAGUAAUGUCUUAUACUUAUGGUCUUAAUUGAGAGAAAAAUGGAUUGGCCAUGUGAAACGGUGGAGCAGACUUGAUGGGCUAAUUCAAGAUUCAAGAUUCAAAAACUUUAUUGUCAUUCUAACCGUACAUCAGCUCUGCAGGGCAGAAUGAGACAGCGUUUUCCAGGAGCAGUGCAAUCAUAACAUAACAAACGUAAAACUAAAUAAUAAACAUAACAAUAAAUAAUUGGCCUAAUUCUGCUCCUAUGUCUCAUGGUCUAAAUUGGAUAUUCUUUAUAAUUUGAAUAUUGUAUGUCUAUUAAUACACAGAAACCUUUGUGGAUGUCCACAUACUGCAGAUGCUAAGAGUAAUUCGAGAGACUGAGGAACUCAGAAAUAAGACCAUAAGACACAAGAACAGAUUCAGCCUAUCGAGGCUGCCCUGCUAUUUAAUCAUGGCUGAUUUAUUAUCUCUCUCGACACUAUUCUCCUGCCUUUUCCCUGUAACCGUUGACGCCUUGACAAAUCAAUAACCUAUCAAGCUCCGCUUUAAAUAUAUUCAAUGUCUUGGCCUCCACGACCGUCCAUGGCAAUUAAUUCCACAGAUUCUUCACCCGCUGGCUAAAUAAAUUCCUCCUCAUCUCUGUUCUAAAUGGAUGUCCUUCUUGAAAAUAAUGAGCUUGUGCCCUCGAGUAUUAGACUCACCCACUACCGGAAACAUCCUCUCCAUAUCCACUCUAUCUGGGUCUUCAAUAUUUGAUAGGUUUCAAUGAGGUUACCCUCCCCUCCCCUCAUUUUUCUAAUCUCUAGUGAGUGCAGGCCCAGAGCCAUCAAACGCUCCUCAUAUGUUCACCCUUUUAUUGCAAGGUCUCUGGACCCUCUCCAAUGCCAGCAUAUAAUUUCUUAAUUAAGAACAUAACAUAAGAAACAUGAGCAGGAGUAGGCCAUCUGGCCUGUCGAGCCUGCUCCGCCAUUCAAUAAGAUUGAGGCUGAUCUGGCCAUCAUCUCCACCUAUCUGCCUUUUCCCCAUGAUCCUUAAUUCCCCUACUAUGCAAAAAUCUAUCCGACCUUGUCUUAAAUAUAUUUACUGAAGAAACCUCCACUGAUUCAUUGGGCAGAGAAUUCCACAGAUUCACCACUCUCUGCGAAAAGCAGUUCCUCCUCAUCUCCAUCGUAAAUAUACUUCCCCGAAUCUUGAGACUAUGUCCCUUAGUUCUAGUCUCACCUACCAGUGGAAACAACUUUGCUGCCUCUAUCUUAUCUAUCCCUUUCAUAAUUUUAUAUGUUUCUAUAAGUUCUCCUCUCAUUCUUAUGAAUUCCAGUGAGUACAGUCCCAGGUGACUAAAUCUCUCCUCAUAGUCUUACACCCUCAUCUCUGGAAUCAACCUGGUGAACCUCCUCUGCAUCACCUCCAAAGCCAGUAUAUCCUUCCUCAAGUAAGGAGACCAGAACUGCACGCAGUACUCCAGGUACAGCCUCACCAGUACCCUGUACAGUUGCACUAUAACCUUCCUGCUCUUAAAUUCAAUUCCUCUGGCACUGAAGGCCAACAUUCCAUUUGCCUUUGUGAUAUCCUGCUGCACCUGCAAACUAACCUUUUGUGAUUCAUGCACAAGCACUCACAAGUCCCUCUGCACAACAGCAUGCUGCAAAUUUUUACCAUUUAAAUAACAUGCUCUUUCAUUUGUUUCCUUCCAACGUGGAUGACCUUGCAUUUACCUACAUUGUACUCCAGCUGACAGAACCUUGUCCACUCAAUUAACCUAUCUGUAUCUGUCUGUAGACGUUCCAUAACUUCUGCACAAUUUGCUUUUCCACUUCAUUUAGCAUCAUCAGCAAUACACUACAAUAACACUACAAUCGAUCCCCUCUUCCAGAUCAUCGAUGUAUACCAUAAGGAGCCCAAAACUGCCUGCAAUACUGCAAUUGUAGUCUGAGAAAUGCCUUAUAAAGCCACAGCAUUACAUCCUUGCAGUUAUGUUCUAGUCCAUUUGAAAUGAAUGCUAACAUUGCAUUUGGCUUCCUUACUACUGACUCAACCUUCAGGGUAUCCUGCACAAGGAUCGGUGACACUUUGGAAUGAAACCCUGCAUCACAGCUCAGGGUGGGUCUCGUCAUACUGUCACACGAUCUAAUACUGAAACGUCAAUAUCUCUUUGCCACCACAGAUGCUGCAUGAUGAGCUGAGUUCUUCCAGUAGUUUGUGUUUCUUUUUGCUCCAUUUGUCACAUUUUGCACUCACUAUACUUCAUGGAUUGCUUUAAUAUUCCUAUCCAUUUGGAGGCCACAAGAUACUUGAUCUAUUAACUGAGCUUGACAUGAAGGGAAACUUCUUCACUCAGAAAUUUAUGAGAGUGUGGAACCAGUUGCCAUCACAGGCGGUGCAUGUGAGCUCAAUUUCAACAUUUAAGAGAAGUUUUGGAUGGUAGAGAUAUGGAAAGCUAUAGACCAGGUGUAGGUCAAUAGCAGUAGGCAGUUUAAAUGGUUUGGCAUAGACUAGAUGGGCUGAAGGGCCUGUUUCUCUGUUGUACUUUUCGAUGACUCUGUAACAUAUUAUAAUUUAUUGGAAGAAAUCAGUUUGAAAUUCUUUAUUUGAUUAUUACUGCUUGCGGGAUUAGUACAACUUGGAGCAAGCAAACUUGCAACGUAUUUCUAAGCCAGUACUGUAAGUUGGGAAGAGGACACCAACUUGUAAAUGUUUAUUUGUGCUCUGUGAUAGUCAGGCACAUGAGAGCAACAGUGAACAGUCCAGAAGAGAAACAGGCCCUUUGGCCCACGAUAUUAUGCUGAACAAUUAUAUCAGUAGUUAAAUGUGCAACCAAAUUAAUCCCUUCUCUCUACACAAUGUCAAUGUCCUUCCAUUUGCUUUACCCAUAAGAUUUUACAGAUGCUGGAAAUCUACAGCAACACACACAAAAUGCUGGAGGAACUCAGCAGGUCAGGCGGCAUCAAUGGAGAAGGACAAACAGUUGAUGUUUGAGGCCAAGAUCCUUCAUCUGGACUCAUGAAGGGUCAGAGUCCUGAUGAAAGAUCUUGGCCUGAAACAUCGACUGUUUAUUCCUGUCUAUAGAUGCAGCCUGACCUGCUGAGUUGCUCCAGCACUUUGUGUGUGUUACUUCCAUUUCCUAUACAUUCAUAAUGCAUAUCAAAGUUCUUGAGCCUCUCAUAUUUAUCUCCAGCAUUAGCAUCAUCCAGUCACCCCCAAAUCUCUGUGCAACCCCCUUUGAACUUGCCCCAUCUACUUUAAAUGCAGGCCAUCAGUUAGUACACAUUUCAGUCCUGGGAAAAAGAUAUUCUCACAAUCUUAUAAACCUCUAUCUGAUUACCUCUCAGUCUCUGCUGCCCCAGAGACAAUAAUCCAGUUUUGUCCAACCUCACCUUAUAGCACGUGCCCUCUAAACCAGGCAGCAUCCUGGUAAAUCUCUUCUGCAUCCUCUCCAAAGCUUAGACAUCCUUCCUUUAAUCCGGCAACCAGAAACGAAUGCAAUAAUCCAGACACCGCCUGACUAGAUUUUUAUGAAGCUGCAACGUAAUAUCUUGAAAACAAUUGGUCAAGGAGUAAAGACAAGCAUGCCACAUCCCUUCUUAGAAUCCUAUUAACCUGAGUAACCCCUCUCAGGGAGCUAUGUGGUUAGACCCCACGAUCCCUGUCAUUAACUCUUUUAAGGGUCUUGGCAUUAACCGUGUACUGUCUAUUUAUAUUUCAUCAGCUAAAGUAAACACUUAAUGUUUGGCUGGGUUAAACUCCAUUUGCCAUUUACCCACCCAUAGCUGCAACUGAUGCAUACUCCACUAUUCUCUGCGAGUCAUCUAUGCUAUCUGGUACACCAGCAAUCUUUAUAUCAUCUGCAACUUACUAACCCUCCCAUUUAUGUUUUCAUCCAGGUUAUUUAUGUAUAUCACAAACAGCAGAGGUCCCAGUAUGGAUCCCAGCAGAACCCAACUAUUCCCUAUGUUCUUUGAGUAAGACAAUUCUCAAUCCAAGCAGACAUUCACUGUGGGUCCCACGCAUCUUAAUAUUUUGGAAGCGCCUCCCACGAGAGUCCUUGUCAAACGCCUUACUAAAAUCCAUGUAGACAACACUCACAGCUCUACCUUCAUCCAUCACCUCGGUUCUUCCUCCAAAAACUCUCUCAAGUUACUGAGACAUUACUUCACCCACGCAAAGCCAUGUUGACUGUCUCUAAUUAGGCCAAGGUUUUCCAAAUGCUCAUAAAUCUUAUCCAGAAGAAUCAUCUUCACUUUCCAAACGUUGACAUGAAACUGACUGGUCCAUAGUUUCCAAGAUUAACCCUGUUUCCCUUCUUGAGUAAUGAAACAACAUUAACUAUUUGCUAGUCCUCUCCGGUCACCCCCAAAUUUCUGUGCAAUCCGCUUUUCAAUCUUCGCUAUGUAUAGCGAGGGUGCCUACGACUCUUGCUCAGCACGGCAGUAAUUUUGUGAUUACACUGUGUUGCUGCCGCAAAAAAAACCCAAAUUUCAUGACAUAUGAGUCAUGAUAAAUCUGAUUCUGAUACAGGGCUCUAUUGCGGACUGAAAGUGGGAAGGGAUACAGGGAGAGGGGAAUCAUAGUUGGGAAAGGACGAGAAAAGGAGAGGGAGUGGGAAGCAACAGAGAGUCAUUUUGUAAUGAUCAAUAAGCCAAUUGUUUGGAGUCAGAUGACCUUGCCUGGUGUCUCAGGGCUGGAUGUAUCUGCUGCUGCACCACCACCCCACACCACCACUGCCUCUCCUUCUUUACCACCUGUCCCACACCCCUCCCGUGGUACUCCACCAUCACCCCAUCACCACUCCCAAUACGUUUUGCUUACACUGGAUUAACGAACUCGUUCUCCACUCCACUUUGGCAAAUAUAGUGCGGUGCAAAAGUCUUGGGCUCCUAGCUAUAUAUAUAUAUAUAUAUACACCUUAGAAUACAUACAUAACGCUGGAAGAACUCAGCAGGUCAGGCAGCAUCCGUGAAAAAAGAGUAGCCAACGUCUCGGGCCGAGACCCUUCAUCAGGAAUGGGGGAGAAGAGCACAAAAAAGAGCUGAUGAAGGGUCUCCGCCCGAAAU